rnacentral:rRNA from 1 species
AUUACCAUGAGCAAAUCAGAGUGUUUAAAGCAGGCUUUUAAGCUUGAAUGUGUUAGCAUGGAAUAAUGAAAUAUGACUUUAGUCCUAUUUUCGUUGGUUUAGGUACUUCAGUAAUGAUGAAUAGAAACGGUUAGGGGCAUUUGUAUUUGGUCGCUAGAGGUGAAAUUCUUGGAUUG